rnacentral:tRNA from 1 species
GCCUGGGUGGCUCAGUCAGUUAAGCAUCUGACUUCAGCUCAGGUCAUGAUCUCAUAGCUCAUGGGUUCGAGCCCCGUGUCGGGCU